rnacentral:rRNA from 1 species
AAACGACUCUCGGCAACGGAUAUCUCGGCUCUCGCAUCGAUGAAGAACGUAGCGAAAUGCGAUACUUGGUGUGAAUUGCAGAAUCCCGUGAACCAUCGAGUUUUUGAACGCAAGUUGCGCCCAAAGCCAUCCGGCCGAGGGCACGCCUGCCUGGGCGUCACGC